CCUACGGGAGGCAGCAGUGGGGGAUAUUGCACAAUGGGGGGAACCCUGAUGCAGCGACGCCGCGUGGGUGAAGAAGCGCCUCGGCGCGUAAAGCCCUGUCAGCAGGGAAGAAAAUGACGGUACCUGAAGAAGAAGCCCCGGCUAAAUACGUGCCAGCAGCCGCGGGAAUACGUAGGGGGCAAGCGUUAUCCGGAUUUACUGGGUGUAAAGGGGGCGCAGGCGGCGAUGCAAGCCAGGAGUGAAGGCCCGGGGCCCAACCCCGGGACUGCUCUUGGAACUGCGUGGCUGGAGUGCAGGAGGGGCAGGCGGAAUUCCUGGUGUAGCGGUGAAAUGCGUAGAUAUCAGGAGGAACACCGGUGGCGAAGGCGGCCUGCUGGACUGCAACUGACGUUGAGGCCCGAAAGCGUGGGGAGCAAACAGGAUUAGAUACCCCUGUAGUC
rnacentral:rRNA from 1 species